CAGAAAAUAGUUUAAAAAAAAUUUUAGUUUUGGAGAUUAAAGAUAGAAGAUUCUCUUUUUCUGA
rnacentral:tRNA from 1 species